GAUGAAGAACGUAGCGAAAUGCGAUAAGUAAUGUGAAUUGCAGAAUUCAGUGAAUCAUCGAAUCUUUGAACGCACAUUGCGCCCGCCAGUAUUCUGGCGGGCAUGCCUGUUCGAGCGUCAUUUCAACCCUCAAGCCCCCGGGCUUGGUGUUGGGGAUCGGCGUGCCCUCGCGGCGCGCCGUCCCCUAAAUCUAGUGGCGGUCUCGCUGUAGCUUCCUCUGCGUAGUAGCAACACUCGCACUGGAUCGCAGCGCGGCCACGCCGUUAAACCCCCCACUUCUGAAAGUUUGACCUCGGAUCAGGUAGGAAUACCCGCUGAACUUAAGCAUAUCAAUAACGGAGGA
rnacentral:misc_RNA from 1 species